rnacentral:ncRNA from 1 species
UCGAACUAUCUUAUGGAUCGUUAUAGCUACGUAUCACAUUCACUUUUUUAAUCGAACGGAACGUUUAUUGACAUUUCGGUUAGCGUAAAACAGUCAACUUAAAACUGGCACGGACUCGGGGAAUCCGACUCUCUAAUUAAAACAGAGAAGAAGAUGGCCGUUGCGGGCGUUAACUAUGAUUUCUGCCCAGUGCUCUGAAGGUAAAAGUGAAGCAGCGAGAGUAACUAUGACGUUUCUUAUCUCCAUGUGUUAUAUUUUCGUCACAACUUCACUUCAUAAAAUCCUUAUCAACGUCAGCAUUGAGUAUUUCAACGU